AUCUCUCUUUUGUAGAUGGAGGUUCACAUCUUGCUCAGAGAGGUGAGGCGAUUCACCUGAGAGCACGCAGCAGAGAUCCUGACUAAUACGCCAAGGCCCAGGGCUGCAUGCCCAGGACUCAGGAAGAGUCUCGAAGAAUCCUCUGCACACAAGAACACUGCUAUCCGCCGAAGCUGAUGUCAGCUAUUCCCUGCAGACUGGCCUGGUCCAGCAGAGCCAGCUCUGCUAAACUACCACAGGCAGGAAGAAAAUGAGCCACCAGGGGCCUCCACACUUGUCUCUCAUAAAAGAUAUAUGCUCCACAAGGACAGGGGUUGAGUCUGUCUUGUUCCCUGCUCAAUAAUUGUGUGCUAUGGAUAAGUAAAUGAAUGGAUCAAGAGAUAAGGAUGGAAGAGCAAUUUACAAACCCAAAGCAUUGUGCAAGGCAGGGCAUAAUUGGGUAGGAAUGCUUCUUCUAGAAGUUAUUCCUUAGGAAAGGCCAAACAAAAAGUCUAUUAAUAGACCCGAUUAAUAAACAUCAGCCAAGGUAAAUGUUAACAGGAAGUAUUUCUGCAAAUGUUGGCGGUCUCUCAGGCUGGGCUCAGAGUAGGCUGGCAUGCUGGUGAAGAAGACUUCCUGCCUCCUGUUUGCUCAGAACAUGUUCUCAGGCCUAGGGGAGCCUCCUUCUUGAACCCCAGAAUGGGUGCCACAGUCCCAGGCUUGCCGCAUCCUGGAAGUUCACCCUACUUCAGUAUGCAGUCAGAUCCAGGUACGCAGGGACGCAGUGUGCGGUCAGACCCAGUUAUGCAGGGAUGCAGUGUGCGGUCAGACCCAGUUAUGCAGGGAUGCGGUGUGCGGUCAGACCCAGUUAUGCAGGGAUGCGGUGUGCGGUCAGACCCAGUUAUGCAGGGAUGCGGUGUGCGGUCAGACCCAGGUAUGCAGGGAUGCGGUGUGCGGUCAGACCCAGUUAGAUGGUCCUUAAACAUGCCAUGCUGAUUUGCCCCUGGGGGCUUCACUUGUGUUCUUCCAUUGUUCCUCUUUUCCUCACUUCCUUCAGGUUUCUGUACAAAUGUCGCCUCCUCAGAGAGGCCUCAUCUGACCCCAUUCAAAAUUAGCAGCCACACAGAGGUAUAAUAUGCUGAG
rnacentral:lncRNA from 1 species